UUUUUUUCUUUUUUUUUUUUCUUUUUUUUUUCUCCUCGCCAUGUGC
rnacentral:ribozyme from 1 species